rnacentral:rRNA from 1 species
UGGGGAAUAUUGGACAAUGGGCGAAAGCCUGAUCCAGCCAUGCCGCGUGUGUGAAGAAGGUCUUCGGAUUGUAAAGCACUUUAAGUUGGGAGGAAGGGCAGUAAGCGAAUACCUUGCUGUUUUGACGUUACCGACAGAAUAAGCACCGGCUAACUCUGUGCCAGCAGCCGCGGUAAUACAGAGGGUGCAAGCGUUAAUCGGAAUUACUGGGCGUAAAGCGCGCGUAGGUGGUUCGUUAAGUUGAAUGUGAAAGCCCCGGGCUCAACCUGGGAACUGCAUCCAAAACUGGCGAGCUAGAGUAGGGCAGAGGGUGGUGGAAUUUCCUGUGUAGCGGUGAAAUGCGUAGAUAUAGGAAGGAACACCAGUGGCGAAGGCGACCACCUGGGCUCAUACUGACACUGAGGUGCGAAAGCGUGGUGAGCAAACAGG